ACUCAAAUGAAUUGACGGGGGAAGGCACAAGCAGUGGAGCAUGUGGUUUAAUUCGACGCUACGCGAAGAACCUUACCCACUCUUGACAUCCCGAGAACCCCCUAGAGAUAGGGGGGUGCCCGGAAGGGAGCUCGGUGACAGGUGUUGCAUGGCCGUCGUCAGCUCGUGUCGUGAGAUGUUGGGUUAAGUCCCGCAACGAGCGCAACCCUUAUCGUCUGUUGGAUUUUUCAGGCGAGACUGCCGGCGACAAGCUGGAGGAAGGUGGGGAUGAUGUCAGGUCAGCAUGGCCCUUACGAGUGGGGCUACACACGUGCUACAAUGGCCGCCACAACGAGUCGCGAAGCCGCGAGGCCAAGCUAAUCUCCCAAAAGCGGUCCCAGUUCGGAUAAGAGGCUGCAACUCGCCUCUUUGAAGUCGGAAUUGCUAGUAACCGUGGGUCAGCAUACCGCGGUGAAUACGUUCUCCUUCCUUGUACACACCGCCCGU
rnacentral:rRNA from 1 species